ACUUGGAUUGGAGAUUAUGGACACAGAAAUUUCACUUCUGUCAACGGAGAUGAUUGAGUCUCGCAUCCAAGAAUCCAAGUCGGAAACUGACGUAGAGAGCAAUUAUUUGACGAGACACCCUCUGAUGCGCCUGUUUGUUUGUGGAGCAUGUUGUUGCUCA